AUUGAACGCUGGCGGCAGGCUUAACACAUGCAAGUCGAGCGGGGUGAUGGUGCUUGCACUAUCACUUAGCGGCGGACGGGUGAGUAAUGCUUAGGAAUCUGCCUAUUAGUGGGGGACAACAUCUCGAAAGGGAUGCUAAUACCGCAUACGUCCUACGGGAGAAAGCAGGGGAUCACUUGUGACCUUGCGCUAAUAGAUGAGCCUAAGUCGGAUUAGCUAGUUGGGGGGGUAAAGGCCUACCAAGGCGACGAUCUGUAGCGGGUCUGAGAGGAUGAUCGGCAACACUGGGACUGAGACACGGGCCAUAUGCCUACGGGAGGCAGCAGUGGGGAUAAUUGGACAAUGUGGGGAACCCCGAUCCAGCCAUGCCGGGUGUGUUAAGAAGGCCUUAUGGUUGUAAAGCACUUUAAGCGAGGAGGAGGCUCUUUUGGUUAAUACCCAAGAUGAGUGGACGUUACUCGCAGAAUAAGCACCGGCUAACGCUGUGCCAGCCGCCGCAGUAA
rnacentral:rRNA from 1 species